GUGAUGGGUCGCCCCACCGCGGCAAGGGAGGCAACUCCGGCGACGAGGAAAGUCCGGGCAACGCAGAGCACCCUGCUUCCUAACGGGAAGGACUGGCACGCGUAAAGCAAACCAGGACAGCCAGUGCCACAGAAAAGUACCGCCUACGUCGCCCUCGGGCGGCCGGUAAGGGUGAAAAGGUGCGGUAAGAGCGCACCAGCGGCUGGGCAACCACGCCGGCUGGGUAAACCUCAGGGGUUGAAAGACCAAAUAAGCUGGUACGCAAGCCGCAAGGCCUGCACCGGGCGGCUCGUCCGGCGCCAGCGGGUAGGUUGAUGGAGCCUUUCCGCGAGGACUGGCCUAGAUAAAUGGUGGGGCCGCUCCUGCUCGCAGGGGCGGACAAAACCCGGCUUACAGACUCAUCACCGGC
rnacentral:RNase_P_RNA from 1 species